GACGAACGCUGGCGGCGUGCCUAAUACAUGCAAGUCGAACGCUGAAGAGAGGAGCUUACUCUUCUUGGAUGAGUUGCGAACGGGUGAGUAGCGCGUAGGUAACCUGCCUUGUAGCGGGGGAUAACUAUUGGAAACGAUAGCUAAUACCGCAUAACAAUGGAUGACACAUGUCAUUUAUUUGAAAGGGGCAAUUGCUCCACUACAAGAUGGACCUGCGUUGUAUUAGCUAGUAGGUGAGGUAAUGGCUCACCUAGGCGACGAUACAUAGCCGACCUGAGAGGGUGAUCGGCCACACUGGGACUGAGACACGGCCCAGACUCCUACGGGAGGCAGCAGUAGGGAAUCUUCGGCAAUGGGGGCAACCCUGACCGAGCAACGCCGCGUGAGUGAAGAAGGUUUUCGGAUCGUAAAGCUCUGUUGUAAGUCAAGAACGGGUGUGAGAGUGGAAAGUUCACACUGUGACGGUAGCUUACCAGAAAGGGACGGCUAACUACGUG
rnacentral:rRNA from 1 species